rnacentral:rRNA from 1 species
UACGGAGGGUGCGAGCGUUGUCCGGAAUCAUUGGGCGUAAAGGGCGCGUAGGUGGCCCGGUCAGUUCGUGGUGAAAGCGCGGGGCUCAACCCUGCGUCGGCCAUGAAUACUGCCGCGGCUGGAGCACUGUAGAGGCAGGCGGAAUUCCGGGUGUAGCGGUGGAAUGCGUAGAGAUCCGGAAGAACACCGGUGGCGAAGGCAGCUCGCUGGGACGGUACUGACGCUGAGACGCGAAAGCGUGGGGAGCAAACAGG